UUCCUUUGUUGUUGAGUAAAAACGGCUUGUAGCUCAUGUCCUCUACUCUGUCAUCACAGGGGCUAGAGACUAGACUCAGACAUUCCAGGCAGCAGUGAUUUCAAGAGAGAAUGAUGUAAACGUGGACAAAAGCACAAAAAAAGCUCGAAGUGAAGCCAAAACCGCGGCUGUCGAGCACUCAUGAUGGGCUUCACAGCGGCGUCCCAGCCAGCCUUCGGGGCUCAUGACUUUUACGAGACAGUCGGAGGUCAGUAAUGAAUAUACAUGUGCGGUCUGCAAUGGGAGGAAUGAAGCGGCGAGAAGUAGAGUGGUGGGUGAAGAAGAAGAAGAUGAAUACUGAGUUAACGUGCCGAGCGGUGUCGGGCUCCGUUCCCACUCGCCCAGUCGCAUUGUCCUCUGCUGUUAGUCUCAGCCUGGCUUGUGAACAUAAAUAUUUACACAGUUGUCAUGAGCGGGAUUUAUAGGAGCAGUUCUGCUCGUCCCCCAUAAGAGAAAUACUACUUUUUCCCUUCGUACUAUGCAUCUCACCUCCGCCUGUUUUCUUGCCGCUGCAUGCCCGGUGGAAAUAUUGUCUCAUUGUGUUGACACUUCUCGUCCCCUCCCGGGCUCAAAUAAGCUGUGCAGGGAUUUUAUUAUUUGCAACUGGUCAGCUGGCGAAGUGGAGGGAGGCCAAUAAAAACUCUGC